rnacentral:rRNA from 1 species
AGAGUUUGAUCAUGGCUCAGGACAAACGCUGGCGGCGUGCGUAACACAUGCAAGUCGAACGGACGUGGAGACACGUCAGUGGCGGACGGGUGAGGAACACGUGAGUGACCUAGCUUCUUCAGGGGGAUACCCCGACGAAAGUCGGGCUAAUACCGCAUGAGCUCGAGAGAGGAAAGGCGAGAGCCGGGAGAAGGGGGGCUUGCGGUCGAUUAGCUAGAUGGUGGGGUAAGGGCCUACCAUGGCGAUGAUCGAUAGCUGGUCUGAGAGGAUGAUCAGCCACACUGGGAUUGAGAACGGCCCAGACUCCUACGGGGGGCAGCAGUGAGGAAUCUUCGACAAUGGGCGCAAGCCUGAUCGAGCGACGCCGCGUGGAGGAGGACGCCUUUCGGGGUGUAAACUCCUUUUCUGGGGGACGAGAAGGGACGGUACCCCAGGAAGAAGUCUCGGCUAACUACGUGCCAGCAGCCGCGGUAAUACGUAGGAGGCGAGCGUUGUCCGGAGUUACUGGGCGUAAAGCGUGUGCAGGCGGCUUGAUUUGUCGGCCUUGAAAUCUCCCGGCUCAACUGGGAGGGGCAGGACGAAACGGUCAGGCUUGAGGGCUGGAGAGGGACAUAGAACUCCCGGUGGACCAGUGAAAUGGGUAGAGAUCGGGAAGAAUACCAGAGGGGAAGCCGGUGUCCUGGCCAGUGCCUGACGCUCAGACACGACAGCAUGGGGAGCAAACAGGAUUAGAUACCCUGGUAGUC